AGUGAACGCUGGCGGUAGGCCUAACACAUGCAAGUCGAACGGCAGCACAGUAAGAGCUUGCUCUUACGGGUGGCGAGUGGCGGAUGGGUGAGGAGUACAUCGGAAUCUACUUUUUCGUGGGGGAUAACGUAGGGAAACUUACGCUAAUACCGCAUACGACCUACGGGUGAAAGCAGGGGAUCUUCGGACCUUGCGCGAUUGAAUGAGCCGAUGUCGGAUUAGCUAGUUGGCGGGGUAAAGGCCCACCAAGGCGACGAUCCGUAGCUGGUCUGAGAGGAUGAUCAGCCACACUGGAACUGAGACACGGUCCAGACUCCUACGGGAGGCAGCAGUGGGGAAUAUUGGACAAUGGGCGCAAGCCUGAUCCAGCCAUGCCGCGUGGGUGAAGAAGGUCUUCGGAUUGUAAAGCCCUUUUGUUGGGGAAGAAAAGCAGCAGGUUAAUACCCCGAUGUUCUGACGGUACCCAAAGAAUAAGCACCGGCUAACUUCGUG
rnacentral:rRNA from 1 species